CAUAAACUCUGACGUUUAUUUUUAUAGAUUAACUGUUGCACUCGAGCUGAUCAGUGGCGAAAAGGAUAAAAGUAAAACACCUAAAAAUAUUACUGACAAUUUACAGAAAACCUAAGUGGUGACGUUGGAACACAAGUGACUACCAGUUCAAGGUGUCACAAUACAAACAUUUAAUAAUAUCCUGAAGUUCUUGUGUUUACAGAAUAAAAUUAGAAGCCAAAGAUUGUCACUCUCAGGUUAUCCACAUUGACGUGUUGUGUCAAGACGUGGGGAUAACUGUACUUCAAGAUAUGAGGUUAUUGCUGUACUGUUCAUCCAUCUGUCAAUCAUAAAAAAAAUUGAAAAUUUUGUAAGAGUUAAAGUUUUCUCUAUUCUAAAUGGAUACAAAGAAGAAAAGAACUGUGAAGAUUGUAAAAGGCGGAGAAAGACACAUUUUUGCUGAUGUGGACACAGACAUUAACAACAAACAAGAGCAAACUGGCCAGAAACUGGAGAAAACACAAAAAGGUCCAAAAGGUCAACCUGUUAUACUGGAAAAUACUCAGAUGAAAUGCAUCCCUAUUGGUCCAAAAUUGAAACAAGAAUUAAAGGCCAUUGCCACCCAACAGAAAAAUAUUGCUUGUGAGAGGAAAGACAAGAGGAAGACUGUCAACACACAGCCAGCUUCUUUACCAGAGAGUGCUGAAGACAUGUAUGGAGCUCCGGAAAUCCAUUCUACUUUGCGUGUGGGCGAACGUUUGCUCAAUGCCAGGGAUCAAAAACCAAAUUUAUCAAGGCUUAUAAAAAGCAAGUUAGACUCUCCCACUACUGCUUCCAGAUUCAAGAAACAGACUGCAAAACAAGUUAACAUAGAAGAAUCAAGAGUGAUAUUCCAGGAACUUGUAUCUGUUGAUGUUAGUGAAGAAGCAGUAGCAACUCAGCUGAAAGAUUCACUCACUUUAAGAAACCGUUCAGACCAGAAGAGUCAAAUCGAGUCGAGUCAUGUAUACGGCUGGACCCAUUAUUUUCGUCAGUCACCACUCGUCUGCUGUGGUGUGAGCAGCAUCAUGUAUAUAAUAAGAGGUUAUUUUUUUUUUUAUAUAGUUACAUACAUACAUCCUUUAAUAUACAUAUUGUUAAUUCCCUAAUCAUAAUAUUACUAUGCUAAUUAUUAUGUAAUUUACCAUGUUAAAACAUCUUUCAUAUAUUUCCCCAUUUGGCAAUCUUCGCAUGUAAAAUCUUCUGAAAAAUGUCGGUUUCCACCAUUUUAUGGAAACACAUCAUUUUCACUAGAUACCUUAACCGGUUCCUUUUCUAUCAAAAUAUCAAUUGUUGUAGUGUCCAGUAAAUGUGGCCAGUUGGCUGGAUCACAUAGAUCUUCAUCAGCAUGACUGUUAGCAUUGGUAGAACUGUCCAUUUUAAAAGCCUUUGUAUUUUUUCAGAACUCUCCUCUUCUUCAUCUUGAAUAUGACCCACACUAUCACCAUCACAUUCGCUCAGGUUCUUUUUUGCAUUAGUUUUUGAAAACAUAUUUUUCUAGGGAACCUUUCAUUUACAUUUCAAUUUCUUCUCUCUUCCUUUUCUCUGCACCCCAGAUGUAUUUUCUGUAUCUGUCUCUAUCCCUGCUGGUCAUGGUAUAAUAUAAAACUAAGGCUGUGUACGAUAGUAAAAUAAUGUACAUCAACAAUUUCACAAAAUACAAAUCACGGACAACUGGAGAUUCAGAGUUUGGACAACACUGACAGGUGACCGGUGUCAACGUCCUCACUCACCUUCGACAGGGAGCACAGUAAAGAAUGACAUUGUUCUCAGUCUGGGUGGUAAGAUGGGGUGGCUUCAUCUUACCUUUGACCUCAUCUCAGCAGAUUUACUGCCUAACUGUGCUGGUCACUAAUCCUUCAGGUGGUCUCCUGAAUCUGGGUGGUAAGGUGAGGUCAGCUUAACGCCGUCACUAAUUCUGGUGUUGGGCGAGGUAAGGGCCGCGGGGCCCAAGGCGGUCGCACCGGUUGCCAUACCCUAGGGACAGCUCUGCCUGUCAGUAUUACUGGUAUUUUUCAAAUAAAUUACAAAACUUACCUUAAAAAUAUGGCUAUUCUUUCUUCAACUGCACACCCGUAGUUUGUGUCCAUUUUCUUAACAGAUGGUCCUGUCAUGUCCACCAACUUAUUGAAGUUUUCAGUUAUCAUCCUAAAGAAAUUGUAGAAUUUGUCUGAAUAGUUCACCAAGUCUGGGAAUAAAUGACUAAAGGCCCAAAAUCUGGUCUUUUGGUGUUGAUUUCAUGUAUCCACAAUCGGGUUCUCCUCCUCCUCCUACGGCGCCGAACCCACAAUAGAGCAUAUUGUUCAGCGAGAGAAUGUGUGUCCAUACUGCUCAAAAUCAGGCUGGGUACUGACAAUUUAGUGACAAACCUGACUCAUUUUGACUCUUUCGGUGUGAACGGAAUGAGUCAAUUUGGCUCGAGUCAAAUGACUCUAAUGAAUCGACUCGACUCGGCUCGUUUGGUGUAAAUGCAGCCUUACACACUCAUGCAUCAGAGUUUUUUGGGCAGCAGUAGUUCAGCCAGCAUCCAGACCCCGGGAUCCUGAACCGCAGCCAUCAGAUAUCUUUGACCCUGAGGAAUAUGUGACCACGGCAUCUGUGACCAACAUAAAGGCUU
rnacentral:misc_RNA from 1 species